UACGUAGGGGGCAAGCGUUGUCCGGAAUUAUUGGGCGUAAAGAGCGUGUAGGCGGCCAGAUAAGUCCGCUGUGAAAUCUCGAGGCUCAACUUCGAGCUGUCGGUGGAAACUAUCUGGCUAGAGUCCGGAAGAGGAGAAUGGAAUUCCUGGUGUAGCGGUGAAAUGCGUAGAUAUCUGGAGGAACACCGGUGGCGAAGGCGGCAUCCUGGACCGGUAUUGACGCUGAGGCGCGAAAGCUAGGGGAGCAAACGGGG
rnacentral:rRNA from 1 species